UAUCAUCAACAAAGAAAGUGACAAAUGAAUAAUUUUAUUUCCUUUUUGCAAUUUCUCAUUGAUGUGAUGUAAAUUUUCUGUUAGAAAGUCACACGAUUCUGUAUCUAUAUACUAGUAUGACAGUUUGCCUAAGUUUCACAAGACUGUUUUAUCUUAUUUUUGCAGAAAUUUUUUUUUUCUAGGUGUACAACUGUGCAAGUAUUGAACAUCGCAGCUUGAAAUGCAAUGUGACCUAAAAGACAACAUAAUAAUGGACAGAUGUUCUCUGGUCGUUCGUACUUGUUGGCCACACACAUGGAGAUAUUGAUCCUGCUUUCAGCUAAUAUCAGAAAAAUUAAGAACAAAGGAUGCUGAAACUGUGCAGUCACUGUUCAGGAUUAUUCCAGAUGUUUCAAAAGUGAAAUUAUAAUACAAUAUAUGUUACUGGUUAAUUCCUAUGAUUAGUAAUUUUAAACAACACACAGAGACUUUGCAUUAUUGUUUUACAAGAGAGACACCAAAAGAUGCAAUCAACAUUUAUCAUUUUUAUCAAAAUACACCCAGGACAAACCAUGGAUACACUUAGCUUGAAAUAUUGUGCUUUCUUACCAGAAUUGCCUGGAUGUAAAAGAAAUGAAGAACCUAAAUUCAUGACAACAAUCAGGAGAUACGCAGAAGAACUAGUAUAAAUGGUUAAAGAUGAAAGAAUGCAGAAUAGGGCAGGAUUGAAAGGAAGAAAGAACUAGUCAUCAGUAAAGAAACAGAUCAAUUUAUAUAACAUGUAAUAAUUCCAUCUGAAUAUAACAAACAUUGCACAUGUUAUGAAGAUUUGUUCACAUGUCUACUCUGAUUUGUACCCGUAGUUAUGUAUUUGUAAUAUUAUAUAGUACAUGUAUUUUAUUUUAGAACAGUAUUUUUUUUUUCCUGUGGAGAACAUCAAAGAAAUUUAGAAAAAUAUAAUUAAAGAUAGUUUCUUCCAUUUUUUCUGUGACAAAAAAAAAAUUGUGCAAAUUAGGAAAAUGAAAUGAGGCUAUAUUAUUAAAUAUUUUUGAGUUUUAGUUUUUUUUUACGUCCUAUUUUAAAAUUUCAUUGGCAUUUGAAGUAAUGAGUUGAAACCAGUUUUUAUCAAUCAUUUGUUUUUUCAAGAUGUACAAACAGUACAGUAGGUUAAGUCUUUGGUGUACAUUAGUUUACUAUGAUGUUAAGGUCAAAUAAACUUGAAACUUUGUACUUACAAGUGUUCAUUAUGAAGUCAUUUU